rnacentral:sRNA from 1 species
CGUGGAGCCCAGCCAAGAGCAGGACGUCCUAACCAGCAUGGAGGCCUCUGGCCACCUCAGCACAAAUCUCUGGCAUGCUGUCACUGAUGAUGACACAGAGACGAGUGUGACAGAGCUCGGACCUAGUUGCUCCCAGCAGGACCUGAGCCAGCUGGGUGCAGAGGACGCCGGGCUGCUCAAGCCAGAUCAGUUUGCAGAAAGCUGGAUGGGCUACUCGGGUCCCGGCUAUGGCAUCCUCAGCUUGGUGGUCUCCGAGAAGUAUAUCUGGUGCCUGGACUACAAAGGCGGCCUGUUCUGCAGCGCGUUGCCGGGCGCCGGGCUGCGCUGGCAGAAGUUUGAAGAUGCUGUCCAGCAGGUGGCAGUCUCGCCCUCAGGAGCCCUUCUCUGGAAGAUUGAACAGAAAUCUAACCGGGCUUUUGCUUGUGGGAAAGUCACCAUCAAGGGGAAGCGGCACUGGUACGAAGCCCUGCCCCAGGCAGUGUUUGUGGCCCUGAGCGAUGACACGGCCUGGAUCAUCAGGACCAGUGGGGACCUAUACUUGCAGACAGGUCUGAGCGUGGAUCGCCCUUGUGCCAGAGCCGUAA